UGGCCUCGGCAGUUGGGGGCUCCUCGUCGUGAGCAAUAAAAACUCCAGUAACUGAGCUGCCGCGACCUGAGCAGUAGGCCUGCAAGAGGAAGGAUGUACCCGCAGAAGACCACAGAAGGACAAGCCUGAACUCAGCUUCAGACCCCUGCCCAGUGCUCUGCACCGUCCCCACUCUGAUUGACCAUGAAUUGCAGGACCCGAGCUGCAGUUGAGUGUCAUGACCAUGGAGCCCUAGCAACCUGAGAGAUAAUUACUCUUCUCAGAGCACUGUGGUUGAAACAUCCGAGUGCAGUCUGGUCCAAGCCCAGUUCCUCUCUGCCUGCUCAUCCAAGAAGUCUGUGCCCAAUUCCUGCUUCUUCAUCCUAGAACACUCUGCUUCCAGCACCUACAGACUGAGCUACAGAAGCAACUGCUGUCAUCUGGUUUCACAGUUUCUUUCUUUCUCUGUUUUUUAAAGAGUUUUGCACACAUAGACUUCAAU
rnacentral:lncRNA from 1 species